rnacentral:rRNA from 1 species
AUUGAACGCUGGCGGCAGGCUUAACACAUGCAAGUCGAGCGGUAGCACAAGAGAGCUUGCUCUCUGGGUGACGAGCGGCGGACGGGUGAGUAAUGUCUGGGAAACUGCCUGAUGGAGGGGGAUAACUACUGGAAACGGUAGCUAAUACCGCAUAACGUCGCAAGACCAAAGAGGGGGACCUUCGGGCCUCUUGCCAUCAGAUGUGCCCAGAUGGGAUUAGCUAGUAGGUGGGGUAAUGGCUCACCUAGGCGACGAUCCCUAGCUGGUCUGAGAGGAUGACCAGCCACACUGGAACUGAGACACGGUCCAGACUCCUACGGGAGGCAGCAGUGGGGAAUAUUGCACAAUGGGCGCAAGCCUGAUGCAGCCAUGCCGCGUGUGUGAAGAAGGCCUUCGGGUUGUAAAGCACUUUCAGCGAGGAGGAAGGUGGUGAACUUAAUACGUUCAUCAAUUGACGUUACUCGCAGAAGAAGCACCGGCUAACUCCGUGCCAGCAGCCGCGGUAAUACGGAGGGUGCAAGCGUUAAUCGGAAUUACUGGGCGUAAAGCGCACGCAGGCGGUUUGUUAAGUCAGAUGUGAAAUCCCCCGGGCUCAACCUGGGAACUGCAUUUGAAACUGGCAAGCUAGAGUCUCGUAGAGGGGGGUAGAAUUCCAGGUGUAGCGGUGAAAUGCGUAGAGAUCUGGAGGAAUACCGGUGGCGAAGGCGGCCCCCUGGACGAAGACUGACGCUCAGGUGCGAAAGCGUGGGGAGCAAACAGGAUUAGAUACCCUGGCAGUCCACGCUGUAAACGAUGUCGAUUUGGAGGUUGUGCCCUUGAGGCGUGGCUUCCGGAGCUAACGCGUUAAAUCGACCGCCUGGGGAGUACGGCCGCAAGGUUAAAACUCAAAUGAAUUGACGGGGGCCCGCACAAGCGGUGGAGCAUGUGGUUUAAUUCGAUGCAACGCGAAGAACCUUACCUACUCUUGACAUCCAGAGAACUUUCCAGAGAUGGAUUGGUGCCUUCGGGAACUCUGAGGCAGGUGCUGCAUGGCUGUCGUCAGCUCGUGUUGUGAAAUGUUGGGUUAAGUCCCGCAACGAGCGCAACCCUUAUCCUUUGUUGCCAGCGGUUCGGCCGGGAACUCAAAGGAGACUGCCAGUGAUAAACUGGAGGAAGGCGGGGAUGACGUCAAGUCAUCAUGGCCCUUACGAGUAGGGCUACACACGUGCUACAAUGGCAUAUACAAAGAGAAGCGACCUCGCGAGAGCAAGCGGACCUCAUAAAGUAUGUCGUAGUCCGGAUUGGAGUCUGCAACUCGACUCCAUGAAGUCGGAAUCGCUAGUAAUCGUAGAUCAGAAUGCUACGGUGAAUACGUUCCCGGGCCU